UACGAAGGGGGCUAGCGUUGCUCGGAAUCACUGGGCGUAAAGCGCACGUAGGCGGCUCUUUAAGUCAGAGGUGAAAUCCUGGGGCUCAACCCCAGAACUGCCUUUGAUACUGAGGAGCUUGAGUCCGGGAGAGGUGAGUGGAACUGCGAGUGUAGAGGUGAAAUUCGUAGAUAUUCGCAAGAACACCAGUGGCGAAGGCGGCUCACUGGCCCGGUACUGACGCUGAGGUGCGAAAGCGUGGGGAGCAAACAGG
rnacentral:rRNA from 1 species